rnacentral:tRNA from 1 species
UCGGUGAGAGAGGGAUUCGAACCCCCGAUACGUUAAAUCGUAUACACGCUUUCCAAGCGUACUCCUUCAGCCUCUCGGACAUCUCACCA